GAAAAUCUUCUGUGCUUAGCUUCACUGGAGUGUCAACACUUAAUACUAGAUAUGUAGAAUUACAACUCUAUGUUUAUUACAGUAAAUAUACAGGCAUUUAAGGAAAAAUUCUAGAACAGUUUUUCUUAGUAUGUUAAAAAUUUUAAUCACCAUUUCACCUUUGAAGAUCAUUCUCUCUUGCACAGAGCACUAAAUUCAGUACGAGAUCUGCUAUGAUGUUUCUCUCUUAUAUGUAACUGGAGGGUAGAAGCUGCCACUCAGUGGCCAUGUCCAGGGCACACUGGCCCUCAGCCCCAGCCACUCUCCCAUGGCCAGCGCACAAGGCCACCACAGCCUGGUCCUGACGUGAUACCCAAGACCGGUGGGUACGAGGGGCAUCUGGUGAACCUGCAUAUAAUAUAUUUUAAAAACUUCUUGUUAUGAUUUCCAUCAGGAAUAGGAUCUAUUUUUGAAGUACUACUUAAACUAGGAAUUAUAAUUCAAUAUAUGUUGGAGUUUCUCUUCCAUCUUGUUAAGUUCGGUACCUACUAUUUGUUUCUUAUUUUUAAAAUCAAACUGAUUACAUCCUACCCAAUACCAAUGACAUGUUCUUUAACCUGUCUUUGUUAUAAGUAAACCGAAAACUUUUCCGUGUUUAUCAGGGACACUAUGUGCACCUCCUGAAUAUGGAUUUAUUUGUCAACAUAUUGACCACCCCUGGUUUUAUGCAUGUGUUGACAGCUGGUGCAUAAGAGUUAAUUGUUUAUUAGGUUAUCUGACUAUUCUUUCUAUUUAUAGCUUCACUGCUUCUCAAUAUUGGACCAGUUUCUUAAAACUAUUUUCCAGGAAUAGACAAACCCUACCUGCAAACCAAGAAGACAGAUUUUGGCCUAUGUUUAGCAAUAUUCUCUUGCCAUGAUGGAGAGUAUCCUCUCAUGAACAACGAUUAUAAAUCUGUCAAUCACUCUAUGUAACUUCUCAAAUGAAGCAGCUAAAGCCAUAGCUGCCCAACAAAAAUCUUUAAACUCUUUCAUGUUGUGUUUACAUCAAUACAUUUUCUGAAGUUGAAACACACAUGAAAUUAGAAGACAACAAGCUAAUUAAUCACAACAAAUUCUCAGGGAAGAACCAGGUGCCAACUGGUUCUCAGGUAUAUUUUUCUGAAUCCCACAUAGAAUUCAAUGUAUGCCCCCAAGCCAUACGAAAAUUAAGACUUUACCUAUUACUAAUGCUCAUUUUUG
rnacentral:lncRNA from 1 species